AUGAGCAACAUUUCAUUCAGAAGCAACCAUGCACAUAUUCUUAAUAAAAUGCAGGAACAAAUGAAACAUCAUGCACACAUUCAACCUACAUGUACAAAUGACAUGUCGCCGGCUCCCAUGUGUGCACACUCCACUCCUCUUGUGUAUUGGUCACACCAUGCCAUCCUAAAACGCAAGAGCUUUGCUCGUGUUAUCUCCCAAAACGAUCUUGAUUUUGCAGCCAUGGUAUUUGGAUCAAACAUCAUCCACCGGUUCUCCUCAACCACCUUCUCUUGCAUCAACCGAUUCUCCUUAAGUUGA
rnacentral:rRNA from 1 species